rnacentral:rRNA from 1 species
GACGAACGCUGGCGGCGUGCCUAAUACAUGCAAGUCGAGCGGACGGAUGGGAGCUUGCUCCCAGACCGUCAGCGGCGGACGGGUGAGUAACACGUGGGCAACCUGCCUGUAAGACUGGGAUAACUCCGGGAAACCGGGGCUAAUACCGGAUAACUCUUUCCCUCACAUGAGGGAAAGCUGAAAGAUGGCAUCUCGCUAUCACUUACAGAUGGGCCCGCGGCGCAUUAGCUAGUUGGUGAGGUAACGGCUCACCAAGGCGACGAUGCGUAGCCGACCUGAGAGGGUGAUCGGCCACACUGGGACUGAGACACGGCCCAGACGCCUACGGGAGGCAGCAGUAGGGAAUCUUCCGCAAUGGACGAAAGUCUGACGGAGCAACGCCGCGUGAGUGAUGAAGGUUUUCGGAUCGUAAAACUCUGUUGUCAGGGAAGAACAAGUACCGGAGUAACUGCCGGUACCUUGACGGUACCUGACCAGAAAGCCACGGCUAACUACGUG